AGGGACGACGUAAAGAACCUCUUCAGUCCUUCACUGAAGCGUUCUGUACCACCGUCCUCCGGCUUGAGCAGGACUGACAUUCUAUCUCAUCCUCUUAAGCAAGUUUUUCCGACUGUGCCAGCUGUAUCUACUCCGAGUGCUCUGCACUUGGAACCAGCAACACCUGCUGUCAGUUGUGAAAUUUCGCCUUCUUCGAGUGGGCCCGACACACCCAGUGAUCACAGCAGGUAUAUUUCCACUUAUUUAGUUCAUUUAUUUCGUACAUGUCUUCGAACAUUGCGGGUGUAGUUCGUUUGGAGAUGAAUCAGUUCUAAAAUAUGCAUGGAUUGUAGGAUUUACUAUGCUUCGUUAUGCUUUCACAUGACAAGAGGUUCACUCUAAUAAUGUGAUGGUUAUGAGCCUUGCGCUGAACUUAAUUUGCUGACCUGUGUUCUAAUCUGCAUUUGCAGGGACAAACUGCAUGACAAAAUUGAUCAAGAUAACGAUGAUACCGGCUACAGGGAGGGUGGAGUGCGGUAUCGAGAGAAUUUACGGAAGUUUGUCGUAGAAUACAGGCCUCCACGUUUCAAAUGGAAGCUUUGGAUGGGCACGUACCUCACCAUAGAUGAGGGUCGUCGAGCAUGCGACUGCGCAAGGUAUUAUGCCGGCCAUGAUAAGGGUGGGUUCUAUUUCAAAGACUCUCCGGCGUUGUUUCAGGAGCUAGGGCCACUUAAC
rnacentral:lncRNA from 1 species